rnacentral:lncRNA from 1 species
CAAUGUUAAAGUUUGCUUCCUGUCGAAGGCUGGACCUUUUCCAGAUCUCUGGAGCCCUUUUCAGCUCAUUAGCAUUUGUGCUUGCCCUGGGGGAAGAAUCCACCAUUCCAGCUCAGGCAAUCAGCUGCCAGCUCCUCCCCUCUGUGAGCAAUGAUCCUUACUUCAGACCUUGCCUGAACAUUCUUCAUAGCACUUGCCUUCUUUUUCCUGAAAUCAAGGGUGUGUGGACCACCUGGGGAUCUCCAUUCCCACACACAGCAUCCUCUCCCACUGAGGCCAGACAUGGCAGUCCAUUAAGGGAACAGAUUCCAAAGAUAGGCAGCAGCUUUAUGGCCAGUCAGUGCUACAGUUAUUGGAGGACCCUCAUGAAAACUGAGCUGCACAUCUGCUACCUACAUGUCAGGGGCCUUAGUCCAGCCUGUGUAUCCUAUUUGGAUGCAGUGACUUAUGAUGCUGUGCAUGUGAACUUUCCUAGGGAAGAGUAGAAUUUGCUGGAUCCUUCCUAGAAGAGUCUCUACAAAGAUGUGAUGCAGGAAACCUACUUGGACCUCACUGUUAUAGGCCACACUUGGGAAGACUAUCAUAUUGAAGGACAUUGUCAAAGUUUGAGAAGACAUGAAAGGUAAUCUUCAUGUGCACUCUGAUACGCAUAUGGCUCUGAGGAAAUUUUAAUAUGUUCUGGAAGCUCUAAAGAAAAGCAAGAGUGCCGGGCAGUAGUGGCGGACACCUUUAAUCCCAGCACUUGGGAGGAAGAAGCAACACAGGUAACCUAGCAACGUUUUACAUGACAAAGCCUUGCCUGCCUUCCUGCUCUCAGAUUAGCCUGGGGAUCACACCCACCCCACACCCAC